GCAAGACUAACUAUUAUCUAGACCAUUCUUGAUGGGUGUUGGUCUAACUUGCCCUUAAAAGUCUCCAAUGAUGAAGAUUCCACAACCAGAUUGCACUAGACUGCCAGAAGACACUCUGGGGGUGAACAUUACGCAUAAUCAUGCAGAAGCAGCAGAAAUGCAAUGUAACUACUUCAAUGGUAGAAGAGGGCAGCUGGGAAAGGACAGGAAGAGCUGCAUGUAGCUC